ensembl:lncRNA
UAUGUAUAUGUAUAUGUAUAUGUAUAUGAUGUAUAUGUAUAUGAUGUAUAUGUAUAUGUAUAUGUAUAUGUAUAUGUAAAUGUAUGUAUAUUCUCAAUUGUGUGUUUUCUUAUUCGCCUACCAAGUAUCCCUAGUCUGUGACAACCCCAGACUCAUGUCAAGGCUGGACCAUGGUAAGUUCAAAAGUCAUGAUGCCAUGCAAGGGCCAAAGGAAUGAUCAGAUCCCAUUCUGUUCCUGCUAAUUCUGGAAGUGGGCAACUGAAACGACUUUAAGAACAGAAUAAAUGUAAAUCUUUUUUUCUUCCUCCCCCCUAAAUGUAAGUCUUAAGAGGGCCAGAUUUGUGCUUCCUUGAAGAACUUUCCUGGCUGGCACAUACCAUAGUUUGUCCCUCCAACUACUUGGGUCACGGUCAUUCCUUGAGGUAUCUUCUGUCUUAAGGUGGGUGAAUGUUGUACAAAAGCUAGUGAUUUACCAGGCACAGGAGAGGGGUCAAUAAUAAUUUUGAAGCAAAGGAUCAAGCUCAUGCCUUUGAGCUGUGCUGUCCAAAGAACUCAAAGAACAUGUGAAGGAACAAAACCUGCCUAGUGCUGGCAUAGUCUGUCUAGCACUUCACAGACUCCCUUACAAACUCCUGUCCCUUUGGAAAAACAGAGGGGAAUUGUUAGUGUCUCUGGAUCCUGGGCUUUGGGGAGAUGUCUCAGGCCUCAUGGGGAACAUGGGAUGGAUGGUGUCCUCUUCCUCUCAGACCCACAGGUGUUAGUCUCAAACCCUGGGGUACCACGGCAAACAGUAUUUUGUCUUGACUUCCAAUGUAGUAAGUAGCUACCAUCCUUUAGCACCCAUCAAUGUUCGUUUAUAAACUCAAAUAAUACUCAAAUAAUAAUUGAGUACUUUGAGAGUGUAGACCUGAGUUACUACAAAGUUAUCAUAAAGGCUGGGGUCAAAGCAGAACACUGUCCAUCUAGAAACCAAGGAAUACCAGAGCCCAUAACUGAGGGAGAACCAAAAAUCUGGAGCCCAUCCAUCAUUCUCAGGAUUCUGUGUUAACAAGGAAAUUGUUCUUGUUAAAGUUAGAGUGUCAAAAGUUCCACAGAGUGUCAAGUGUUUGAACAUAGUUCCCACCAGGGGGUGCCAUUUGGGAGAAAUUAAGGAUCUUAAGCAGUGGGCCUAACAGGAAGAAGUGGAUCACCGGCAACAUUGGGGACAGAUCUUUGAGUGUAACCAGCUCUCUACUGCCCCACUGACCAAGAUCAUUCUUCCUGUACUUUGAGACAGAAUGUGAGCAAACCCAGUGGGUUGUGCCUAGACACCAUUGGUCCAUUUCCUGCUCUGAUCUCACCAGGAACCAUUGUUGGGAAUGAUAGACACCUGCCCACUUAGAGCUCUAACUGAGGCUGCCUCUUGCCAUUACAGAUUUGAAGCUGUAGGUUGGUUGGAAACCAACUGGAAUUUGAUGCUGUUAAGUGAUUAUACUUGGACUUUGUGAGCUUUGAAUCCUGAAGCAGUUUCUCUCCACUAUGACAAGGUUUUUUGGUUUCGGUUUGUGUAUUUGCUUGCUUGUUUUAUGCAUAUACUUUUCCAUGCUUUUAUUAUCUCCCAUUUUACUUUUAAUUGUUUUAAGUUAUAUUUGAUAAGUUAGAACCUUUUCUGUUUUCAUUUACGUGUAGGUGUAUUUUUGCCUUCAUGUGUGUCUGAGCACCAUCUCCCUGGUCCCAGCUGUGGAGGUCAGAAGAGGGACUCAGAUUUUCAGGAACCAGAAUUACAUUUGGUUGUGAGCCUCUUUUCAUACACCUGGAAUUAAAACAAUAACAUGUUCACAUACCAUAACUGGGUUUUAAAACAAACCAAAAGUCUCACUACAACUACCUGUACUUCCAUUUCCAGGGAAUCUGAUGCCCUCUCUGACCUUUAAAGGUCAUAAAUAACAUUAUUUAAAGACUUGUAUUAGUAUUUUAAGCGACAUGUAGUGUCUGUGAGUGUGUUUUAUGGGUCUGCUUAGAGGUCAGAGGUGUAAGAUGUCCUAGAGCUGAACUUACAGCAGUUGUGAACCAACUGACCUGGGUCCUGAGAACCAAAUGCAGUUCCUCUGCAGGAGUAGCUGAUAUUCUGGACUCCAGAAAUAGCUCCUCAGCCUGGACACUGUGGUUUUUGGAGGGUCUGUUCUCUUAUCUACUCUUCUUGAGCCUGAUUUUCUUAGUGCAUUGGCUCACAGUGAAUGCUGAGAUCGGGGGGGGGGGGUAGGAUGGUUGUCUUUUCCAAUGAGCGGCUCUUACUAUCUUUGAUCCUUUGUUUUGUUCUUUCAGUUUGCAAUUGAUUCCUAUUGACCUGAUCCUUGUCAUAGUUGUAUCUACUGCUUUAGAAGGUGUUUUGUUCUUCUCUUUCCAAGCAUUUAAAGUACCUGACUAGGUUGUCUGACAUAUUUUUGACCCUUUUUUUGAUAAGAAAUAAUUUGUAGUUGUAAACAUUACCUUGGGCCUGAUUUUAAAACUUUUUUUAAAAAAAUUUCUCCCUAGAGCUUGGUUCUAGUCAAGUCAUGAGAGCCUGAUGAUGCAGCAGGAUCUGAAGGUCUGCUCCUUGAUUGAGGAAAACUUCUCCAUUGGACGAAAGAAACUUUUCAGUGGUGAAACAGACCUUCCAUAUCACCACAUUGACCUCUGUGUCUGUAAAAAUUCUUCGAAACAUCAAGAAGUACACCUCACUGCUCUGCAAGGAUGCCAGGAUUAUGAAAAUCCUUAGCCAUUCUAACAUUAUCAAGCGUUUCAUGUGGUCCAGAGAAGAGCGAUCACUUACAAGGUGAUGGAGUGUGCCUCAGAGGGAGAGCUACUAGAUCUCAUCAUUGAAGGCGGUCUUUAGAGGAGAGCUAGUCUUGGAGACUGUUUGUUCAGAUAGUACAUGCUGUGCAGUACUGCCACAACAAUCACAUUGACCAUUGAGACACAAAGGCCAGCUAUUUUGACUGAUUACAGGGGCAAACCCAAGAUGUCUGAUUUUGGCCUUGCCGCUAAAGUAAUUCCUAGGCAGAAACUGGCAAAUUUCUGUGGCACAUUGCCCUACUGUGCCUCAGAACUCUUGUAAGCAGAGGUGUAAGAGGGCUACCCAGUGGAUAUCUGUAGUUUAAUGGUCCUCCUUUUCCUCAUGUUGUCUGGGAGCCUGCCUUUCUAAGGCAGGUCUUUUGAGGAGGUGAUCCUUGCUGCAAACUUCAGCAUUCCUCCUCAUGUUUCCAUUGAUAUUUUCAAUGUCGUCAUUGAAAUGCUAAUGAUCAAUCCCAGCAAGAGGCUCAACAUUCACCAAAUCAAGACACACCCCAUGAUCAGGGACUGUGAGUCAUGUUUACCACCUACUUCCACACAGGUUUUCCCAGACACUCCAAGCCCUAGCAAUGUCAGGAGCAUGAGAGUCAUUGCAUAUAAGCCUGACAGGAAUAUGUCCUCCUGCACACCUCAGGAGGAGCUCUGUGGAUCCCUGCAGGCACCUAAGAUUUAUACCCUCACAGGCUUCUCCCCUGGGUAUACUUUGGAGAAAGACGCCCUCAUGGAGGAAAAGAACCUCACCCAGGAAGAUGCCAUCAAAUAGGAAAAGGCUCCUUCAGAAUGUCUCCAUCAUUUAGGAAGAGCUCAUUACUGAUGUCCAUCCUCAGGAUGUAGGCUGAACUUGCCCUCAUACCUGGCAACAUCACUGGAUGGGGGUGAGGAAGACAAUCAUGAACUCUCUGAAACCUCUGCUGCUGCUGCCACAACCAAAAAGAAGUCAUCUCCCAUAAGAACCUGGCUCUGAGGAAAGGAGAUCUUGGAGUCAUCUUCAAGACCAGAUUGUGCCAACAUCACUCAAAGCAUGAGGCACAUAGAAACCUGAGUUACAGACAUGGAUGGUCCCUCCAACAAAAUGUCUGCCAUCAUUUUGAACACAAGACCACAAGGGUCCUGGCAUCGUAUUCCUGCUGGGAUUUCUGUUGAAUUCAUCAGCAUGACCCUACAGCAUUCUACUGUUGUAAAACACAAUCUUAUUUAGUACCUUCAUGGUCCACUGAGAAACACUAAACUCUUGUAGGACAGAUAUAUGCACUUACCCCAAUCUGAAAAGAGAUGGGUGUCUUAGUCCACUCUGUGGCAGGAAGAGCACCAUUGGACCCAAUGCUCACCAAUCCACAAUGAACAACUCUGGGAAAGUUUAUUUCACAAGUUCUGUGCUGGCCUUAGCUACUGGAACAGACUGAGAUACUCAGACAAAACCAAGGAGGACUUCUCAGCAACUCUGAUCAGUCUGGCUGGAAUCAUCAUUUUUCCUUGCCAUCCAUGCACUUGAGUCUGAAACCCCUGGCGAGUCCAUGUCUCUCUCUGUGUCUCUGUUCCUGUCCCGUCUUGUACAUGAACAACUUCCAGGCAGGCAGGUCUCGAGUGCUCUUUCAUAAAAUGGACCCCUAGGGAAUUGUGAAACACUGGAGCUGGCCAUAAAUGUCAAACACAAAACACAAACAUAAAAUUUAAAAUCACAAUUGAUGGAAAGAGAUAUAGGAAAUUAAAACCAACAGACAAACAGCUCCAACAACAACAACAACAACAACAACAACAACAGCAGCAGAAACAACAACAACAGCAACAACAACAAGAAAAAUCCAUGAAAAUGUCACUCUUAAUAAUAGACACACAGGGGCUGGAGAGAUGGCUCAGUGGUUAAGAGCACUGACUGCUCUUCCAGAGGUCCUGAGUUAAAAUCCCAGCAACCACAUGGUGGCUCACAACCAUCUGUAAUGGGAUCUGAUGCCCUCUUCUGGUAUGUCUGAAGAUGGCUACAGUGUA